UUUUGUUCCAUUCUAGUGCCUUGGUCUGCAACCAGCAACCACGUAACUCUCGUUAGCCCUAAUUCUGAAUCAAGAAUCAUUGGUUAAUGGAGGAAGAUGGUGUAGUUCAUGCUAGUUCUUAAAUCAACUGAAUCAACAAUGAAGACACCGUACGAAACAAUACAUUCAUUGUCUUUUUAACCCUACAAAUCUUCGAAAACCACCCGUUUCCGCCGCUUCUUCGUCGUACCUGACUCAACACAACCACCGUCACAAGAGUUACCACAAUUCAUCAUCAUUGUUCCCUCAGGCUCUCCUCAAAAGCGCUCGUGAGUUCCCAGUUUCAACUAAAGCUCUUAAAUUUUUUGAUUUCAUUCGUGAUAAUCCCUCUCAGUCUAUACAUCCACCUCCAUUAUAUUUUGUAUUCCAAAUUGUUAUUGAGCCCCAAUAUGUGAAGAAAAUUGUGCUUCCAUUGUUGGUUUGUUUAAUCUUUUAAAAGGAACUGAAGGUUUCUCAGAACGUGAAAGCUCUUUUGAGAGGAAAUCUUGUUGUGAAAAGGCAGUCGUUACUUCUGCGAGUUCUUUCUGUAAGUGAAAGAGAAACUGUUAUCAAGACGCCUUGUAAACCUCCUUGUGCUGAUGGGUAUUCUGACCAGAAUGAACAACUGGUUCGCUGCCUGUGUGCUGGUAAAAGUUUUGUUCCUUGGGUGUCAAACAGGCUAACUUUGAUUCCCAUAACAAACAGGUUGAAUGCUCAUGUUUCUAUGGAGGGGGAACUGCCAGAAGAGGUUACAAAGCUGCCACCAGAUGUUGAACUAAAAAAAAUAUCAUAGAGAAUCUUGCACACUUGCGCCAGCCUCUUUCUUGGGUUGUUUGUGAUAUAAUCAUUUGGUUGCAACACAUGAAAAUCAGAAGAUGGCCCCAUAGCCACUUGCAUGCUUCACCAAUAUCAGGAAACCUUGAAGAGCAUGGCAGGUAUUUGGUUAAAAGGAAUAUAAAUGUGCCAAACUGCCUUUGUCCGGUGGGUGGCGAGGAUCAAGAGUCUACGGAACAUUUGUUUGUGACGUGGUUUCACUCAAACAGUAUGGCAUUUAGUAUUACAAUGGUGCAAGUUCCCUCCAAUCUAUGCGUUCCAGGUAAGAGAGCUUCUUGAUUUGCAUUUGUACGUAGGCGGGUCAGCGAAAUUUAAAAAGGUUAUUCUAGCUAUUUUCCACAUGGUUUGCUGGUGUAUUUGGAGGUGUCAAAACGAAGCAGUUUUUAAUCAAGGCCGAUGCUCGCUGUAGAAGAUUAUGGGAGAUGUAAAGGGGUUGUCAUUUUUGUGGAUUAAGGCGCAUUCCAAACAAUCGAACUUAGAUUGGGAUAUUUGGGGUAGUUUUAAUGUUCAUAGAGUUGGGUGGUAUUGCUUGAAUGUAAUAUGAAUUGUAUAUGGUUUACUAUUUUGGUGUAAGCUAGCAACCUGCUGGCUUUUUCAUCUGAUAAUAAAUUGAU